CCUACGGGAGGCAGCAGUAGGGAAUAUUGCACAAUGAGGGAAACCCUGAUGCAGCGACGCCGCGUGAGUGAAGAAGUAUCUCGGUACGUAAAGCUCUAUCAGCAGGGAAGAAAAUGACGGUACCUGACUAAGAAGCCCCGGCUAACUACGUGCCAGCAGCCGCGGUAAUACGUAGGGUGCAAGCGUUAUCCGGAUUUACUGGGUGUAAAGGGAUCGUAGACGGCAGCACAAGUCUGGAGUGAAAUCCCGGGGCUUAACCCCGGAACGGCUUUGGAAACUGUGCGGCUGGAGUGCAGGAGUGGUAAGCGGAAUUCCUAGGGUAGCGGUGAAAUGCGUAGAGAUUAGGAGGAACACCGGUGGCGAAGGCGGCUUACUGGACUGUAACUGACGUUGAGGCUCGAAAGCGUGGGGAGCAAACAGGAUUAGAUACCCCAGUAGUC
rnacentral:rRNA from 1 species